rnacentral:misc_RNA from 1 species
GAGAGUGUUAAAACUCCCAACCCAUGUGAACGUACCUAUCGUUGCCUCGGCGGAGAGAGGGUUACCCAGUAACGCCUACCCGGGUCUAGCUACCCGGCGCGGCAGGGUGCCCUCCCGCCGCCGCGGGCCCACGAAACUCUGUUUUACUUUGCAACUCUGAAUCUUAAAACAAAUAAGUUA